GCUUCUUUUUCCCCGGAGCUUGCUCCACCGGAAAAAGAAGAGUGGCGAACGGGUGAGUAACACGUGGGUAACCUGCCCAUCAGAAGGGGAUAACACUUGGAAACAGGUGCUAAUACCGUAUAACAAUCGAAACCGCAUGGUUUUGAUUUGAAAGGCGCUUUCGGGUGUCGCUGAUGGAUGGACCCGCGGUGCAUUAGCUAGUUGGUGAGGUAACGGCUCACCAAGGCCACGAUGCAUAGCCGACCUGAGAGGGUGAUCGGCCACAUUGGGACUGAGACACGGCCCAAACUCCUACGGGAGGCAGCAGUAGGGAAUCUUCGGCAAUGGACGAAAGUCUGACCGAGCAACGCCGCGUGAGUGAAGAAGGUUUUCGGAUCGUAAAACUCAGUUGUUAGAGAAGAACAAGGAUGAGAGUAACUGUUCAUCCCUUGACGGUAUCUAACCAGAAAGCCACGGCUAACUACGUGCCAGCAGCCGCGGUAAUACGUAGGUGGCAAGCGUUGUCCGGAUUUAUUGGGCGUAAAGCGAGCGCAGGCGGUUUCUUAAGUCUGAUGUGAAAGCCCCCGGCUCAACCGGGGAGGGUCAUUGGAAACUGGGAGACUUGAGUGCAGAAGAGGAGAGUGGAAUUCCAUGUGUAGCGGUGAAAUGCGUAGAUAUAUGGAGGAACACCAGUGGCGAAGGCGGCUCUCUGGUCUGUAACUGACGCUGAAGCUCGAAAGCGU
rnacentral:rRNA from 1 species